rnacentral:tRNA from 1 species
GGGCGGGUAGCUCAGCGGGAGAGCAUCGGCCUUACAAGCCGGGGGUCGCAGGUUCAAAUCCUGUUCCGCCCA